rnacentral:rRNA from 1 species
GGAAGCUACCUUGAGGAAGGGGACAGCAGGUGGAAACGACUGCUAAUACCCUAUGAGCCCUAUGGGGGAAAGAUUUAUCGCCAUGAGAUGUGCCCGCGUUAGAUUAGCUAGUUGGAAAGGUAAUGGCUUACCAAGGUGACGAUCUAUAGCUGGUCUGAGAGGAUGAUCAGCCACACUGGGACUGAGACACGGGCCAGACUCCUACGGGAGGCAGAAGUGGGGAAUAUUGGACAAUGGGGGCAACCCUGAUCCAGCCAUGCCGCGUGUGUGAUGACGGCCUUAGGGUUGCAAAGGACUUUCAACAGUGAAGAUAAUGACAUUAACUGCAGAAGAAGCCCCGGGUAACUUCGUGCCAGCAGCCGCGGUAAUACGAAGGGGGCUAGCGUUGUUCGGAAUCACUGGGCGUAAAGAGUACGUAGGCGGACUGAUAAGUUAGGGGUGAAAUCCCAAGGUUCAACCUUGGAACUGCCUUUGAUACUGUCAGUCUUGAGAUCGAGAGAGGUGAGUGGAACUCCGAGCGGAGAGGUGAAAUUCGUAGAUAUUCGGAAGAACACCAGGGGGGAAGGCGGUUCACUGGCUCGAUACUGACGCUGAUGUACGAAAGCGUGGGGAGCAAACAGGAUUACAUACCCUGGUAGUCCACGCCGUAAACGAUGAAUGCUAGUUGUCACGUAGCUUGCUAUUUGGUGACGCAGCUAACGCAUUAAGCAUUCCGCCUGGGGAGUACGGUCGCAAGAUUAAAACUCAAAGGAAUUGACGGGGGCCCGCACCAGCGGNGGAGCAUGUGGUUUAAUUCGAAGCAACGCGCAGAACCUUACCAGCCCUUGACAUUUGACGCUACAACCGGAGAC